rnacentral:tRNA from 1 species
GGGGGUAUAGCUCAGUGAUAGAGCACCUGCUUGGCAUGCACAAGGCCCUGCGUUCGAUCCCCAGCACCUUCU